GUGCCAGCGUCGAUGACAUAAUUUAUCAAUGGUGGGUUCAGUAGUAACUCAAAUCUGUUUUUCUGAAUGUGCCAGCGUGUGAUGGAAUUUAUCAUUGCUGCUGAGCUCUCUUUACUUUGGGCACUGUUUACCGGCAUCUCAAUCCCGACCUAGCAGGUCUGCUUACUGGCAUCAACAGGUACCACUCUCUCCCCUUCUCCUCUAGAAAAAUGCAUGAAUUGAAAAUUCACAGCAAACUGGACAAGAUCAGUAUACUAGCAUUGUUACACGAUUAAUUAC
rnacentral:rRNA from 1 species